rnacentral:rRNA from 1 species
AUUGAACGCUGGCGGCAGGCCUAACACAUGCAAGUCGAACGAGUGGCGGACGGGUGAGUAAUGUCUGGGAAACUGCCUGAUGGAGGGGGAUAACUACUGGAAACGGUAGCUAAUACCGCAUACCAUCAGAUGUGCCCAGAUGGGAUUAGCUUGUUGGUGGGGUAACGGCUCACCAAGGCGACGAUCCCUAGCUGGUCUGAGAGGAUGACCAGCCCGACUGGAAAUGAAACACGGUCCAGACACCGACGGGAGGCAGCAUUGGGGAAGAUAGCCCAAUGGGCGCAAGCCUGAUGCAGCCAUGCCGCGGGUAUGAAGAAGGGCUUCGGGUGGGAAAGUACUUUCAGCGGGGAGGCGUUAACCGCAGAAGAAGCACCGGCUAACUCCGUGCCAGCAGCCGCGGUAAUAC